rnacentral:rRNA from 1 species
CGCCUAAUACAUGCAAGUCGAGCGAGAAGACGUAGCAAUACGUUUGUAAAGCGGCGAACGGGUGAGGAAUACAUGGGUAACCUACCCUCGAGUGGGGAAUAACUAGCCGAAAGGUUAGCUAAUACCGCAUACGACUCCUGGUCUGCGGAUCGGGAGGGAAAGCGAUACCGUGGGUAUCGCGCUCUUGGAUGGGCUCAUGUCCUAUCAGCUUGUUGGUGAGGUAAUGGCUCACCAAGGCUUCGACGGGUAGCUGGUCUGAGAGGACGAUCAGCCACACUGGCACUGCGACACGGGCCAGACUCCUACGGGAGGCAGCAGUAAGGAAUAUUGCGCAAUGGGCGACAGCCUACGCAGCGACGCCGCGUGGGGGAUGAAGGUCUUCGGUUUAAACCCC